rnacentral:rRNA from 1 species
GGUCCUUGAUGUGUAGGAUAGGUGGGAGGCUUUGAAGUGUGGACGCCAGUCUGCAUGGAGCCAUCCUUGAAAUACCACCCUUUAAUGGCUGGUGUUCUAACGUAGACCCGUAAUCCGGGUUGCGGACAGUGUCUGGUGGGUAGUUUGACUGGGGCGGUCUCCUCCUAAAGAGUAACGGAGGAGCACGAAGGUUAGCUAAUCCUGGUCGGACAUCAGGAGGUUAGU